rnacentral:rRNA from 1 species
AGGCAGCAGUAGGGAAUCUUCCGCAAUGGACGAAAGUCUGACGGAGCAACGCCGCGUGAGUGAUGAAGGUUUUCGGAUCGUAAAACUCUGUUGUUAGGGAAGAACAAGUACCGUUCGAAUAGGGCGGCACCUUGACGGUACCUAACCAGAAAGCCACGGCUAACUACGUGCCAGCAGCCGCGGUAAUACGUAGGUGGCAAGCGUUGUCCGGAAUUAUUGGGCGUAAAGCGCGCGCAGGCGGUUUCUUAAGUCUGAUGUGAAAGCCCCCGGCUCAACCGGGGAGGGUCAUUGGAAACUGGGGAACUUGAGUGCAGAAGAGGAGAGUGGAAUUCCACGUGUAGCGGUGAAAUGCGUAGAGAUGUGGAGGAACACCAGUGGCGAAGGCGACUCUCUGGUCUGUAACUGACGCUGAGGCGCGAAAGCGUGGGGAGCGAACAGGAUUAGAUACCCUGGUAGUCCACGCCGUAAACGAUGAGUGCUAAGUGUUAGAGGGUUUCCGCCCUUUAGUGCUGCAGCAAACGCAUUAAGCACUCCGCCUGGGGAGUACGGUCGCAAGACUGAAACUCAAAGGAAUUGACGGGGGCCCGCACAAGCGGUGGAGCAUGUGGUUUAAUUCGAAGCAACGCGAAGAACCUUACCAGGUCUUGACAUCCUCUGACAACCCUAGAGAUAGGGCUUCCCCUUCGGGGGCAGAGUGACAGGUGGUGC